AGAGUUUGAUUCUGGCUCAGGAUGAACGCUGGCGGCGUGCUUAACACAUGCAAGUCGAACGGAGUUUUUAAACGGAAGUUUUCGGAUGGAAGUUUAAGACUUAGUGGCGGACGGGUGAGUAACGCGUGGGUAACCUGCCUCAUACAGGGGGAUAACAGUUAGAAAUGACUGCUAACACCGCAUAAUAUAGCGAAACCGCAUGAUUUUUGCUAUCAAAUAUUUAUAGGUAUGAGAUGGGCCCGCGUCUGAUUAGCUAGUUGGUGGGGUAAAGCCUACCAAGGCGACGAUCAGUAGCCGGCUUGAGAGAGUGACCGGCCACAUUGGGACUGAGACACGGCCCAAACUCCUACGGGAGGCAGCAGUGGGGAAUAUUGGACAAUGGGGGAAACCCUGAUCCAGCGAACCGCCGCGUGAGUGAAGAAGUAUUUCGGUAUGUAAAGCUCUAUCAGCAGGGAAGAUAAUGACAGUACCUGACUAAGAAGCCCCGGCUAACUACGUGCCAGCCGCUGC
rnacentral:rRNA from 1 species